rnacentral:rRNA from 1 species
CCUACGGGAGGCAGCAGUGAGGAAUAUUGGUCAAUGGCCGGAAGGCUGAACCAGCCAUGCCGCGUGAAGGUCAGUGCCCUAUGGGCGUUAAACUUCUUUUGUGCGGGAGCAAUAAUGGUCACUUGUGGCCAGACGAGAGUACCGUACGAAUAAGCAUCGGCUAACUCCGUUCCAGCAGCCGCGGUAAUACGGGGGAUGCAAGCGUUAUCCGGAUUUAUUGGGUUUAAAGGGUGCGUAGGCUGUGAGGUAAGUCAGCGGUGAAAUGCCGCCGCUCAACGGGGUGAAGUGACAUGGAUACUGCCUGGCUGGAAUGCGGAUGCCGUGGGAGGAAUGUGUGGUGUAGCGGUGAAAUGCAUAGAUAUCACACAGAACACAGAUUGCGAAGGCAUCUCACGAAUCCGCGAUUGAGGCUGAUGCACGAAAGCGUGGGUAUCAACAGGAUUAGAUACCCCUGUAGUC